GUUGCCCAUAAAUUGAUGGGAUCUCCAUAAUGGAGAUACUAAAAACCCAACAGAACCAGCCUCUGAGAAACGUAAAUUAACUUUGAAGUUAGUCAUGUUCUGAGCAGUAAUUCUUCCUUCACCCUUAGCUUUUGGCAUAUAAUUCCCUGAAAGCUCACCCGUAACUUACGGCAAGGUAAUUGCCUUCUCUGAGCAUAGCAUAUCUGAAUGCCAGUUUCCAUGACUGGUCAGAUCACAGAGCACCUUUAACGAUGCAGCUCUCUGGUAACAGAACAAGUUUGGCUUCUCCUGGUGCCUCACAGCAGCUGGAAACAAAGCUGAGUGCCCUCCAGGGCAGUGAGAGUGUGUGCAAGAUGGAUAACUCUUCCACUGCAAGGCAAGAUGGAAAAGACUGCAGAACAAACAUGAAGGCUUUGCUCCUUUGCAGGCACAGGAAUCGUGCUUUUCUGUCCUUUCAUGUGAUCCGCCUACCACAGAAAGUUGCUAACAAGGACUUGGAAAGUAAAAUGUGCAUUAAAUGAACGGGUUUGGCAGAAGAAACAUCUGUUUAACUGGAGUGGAUGACUUCAGCUGCAAUGUGCUGCAGAGACCCAGAGCAGUGCUCAGCAGGAUGACCUCUGCCAGAUCAAUCUUCAGCGAGAGAACAUCUCACAAAGCAACUGCCCCACCUCCACCUGUCAUUUCUUGAGGAAGACCUACAGAAAAUCAUAGAAUCAUAGAACCACAGAAUGGCCUGGGUUGAAAAGGACCACAGUGAUCAUCCAGUUUCAACCCCCCUGCUAUGUGCAGGGUUGCCAACCACCAGACCAGGCUGCCCAGAGCCACAUCCAGCCUGGCCUUGAAUGCCUCCAGGAAUGGGGCAUCCACAACCUCCUUGGGCAACCUGUUCCAGUGUGUCACCACCCUCUGUGUGAAAAACUUCCUCCUAAUAUCUAACCUAAACCUCUCCUGUCUCUGUUUAACAAGCCUAGGAAAUAAUAUUCAACUCUGUUGGCUACUAAAAGUCAGCAGCUCAGCAGUGCCACGUGCUUCACGCUGUCCUGCAGUGCUUCAUGCACCCUGCAUCUACUGAUCCCUCUGUCCUCAGGUGCUCCCUGCCUGGUGCUGCCACAGGACACAUCCCACCUGUCCUUGCCACCACCCUCUGUGGUCCACAGGUGUCGCCUGCUUAUGCUUUUACAGUGAUUUUACUAAAGGUAAACUGAACUCAAAGCGAUCACUCCUCACCAGCAUCAUGACAUUUGCAGCCUCUGUCUCAGACUGGUAAAAGAGCUCGUCUGGCCAAGGUUGACAUACAGUUUUUGAGAGCCUAAUCAAAAAUUAGAGCUACAAUCAUUUCUUGUCUGUGUCCUGAGGCCUUCAGAGCCGUUACAAGAGUAAAUAAGUGAUCAGACAUAUCCUUUUCUCGUCGUCGCAGCAAGGCUUAGGCUCCCUUCUGGAAGGGAGCAGCUCAUAACAAAGGCAGAGCGAUUCCUCUGCUAUCUCUGGUGGUUUUUGCAAAUGUGAAAGAUGUGCAGACAUAGCAGAGAAAAAAGAUAGCAAGUAAGCGCAGACAAACAUAGACGUCUUCACAGGAGGAAAAUUCCCCCACCCCAGUACAGACUUUUGGCUGAAGGAUAAUGUCUUUGUUCCCGGAUCCAAGAUGCUGUCACUCCCGUUUCAUUAUUCCUCCUCUAAAAGAAACAGACUUUUCACAUUCUUUGUAAAUGAAAAGGAUUGCAUUAAGUAAAAAACCUGUUUAUUGUUAGCUUUUCUUCUUAACAGAAACUGCCUGCAGGGUCCCUCGCUGUGGCCAGCAGUUUGACAGAAAGCAGUAAUAGUCCUGUGAGUGAAUCCAGUGUGGUAUGUGCAUCCUUAUUAGCCAGGAUUAAUGAAAAUGAAGAAGAAGGAAGUUGUGCUGGGUGGAUGCUGGAGCAUUUGGGCAUUUUGGAACUGAUCAGCUAGUUGAGUUUUGAUAAGUUUGCAGAUAAGUGCUCCAGGACACCAUCAAGCCUCUCUCUCCACAUAGGUUACAGCUCCAGGUCGUUAGAAGCCUGAAAGUCCUCUUUGCAAAGAUUAAAUCUGCCUCCUCCUCUACGAAUACUGGCACUGUAAGAAAGACUGCAAACUUAGGAACAUCCCAACCUGUCUUACAAAAGCGAGACUGCGCAUCAAAAUGUUAUAUGCUAUUCAUUACCAACAUUUUAAAGAGCUCAGGAAGACUUCCACACACGAGCUGAAGAAGAACAGCCCAUGCAGCUGGACCUCACGUUGUCCCAUGUUUAAAAGUCGUUAGAGGGACAAAAUGUAAAGUAACGUGAUGGGGCUGUCUUGCAAAUGAGUGGAAGUUGGAAAAUAUAACACUUCAAAUAGGACCAUCUCUUCCAGGACUGAAUGCUUGAUGAUACAGAGGUACAGUCCUUAGGUGGCGUAGACCUUUUCAUCGUCUCAGGUGAAGACUGCAGGGUUACAGAGAUGUGAAAUUAGGCCAUGGGAGAGAAUAACUGUAUAAAAUAAGCACCUGAUGAUGAGUGUCACAGUGGCAUAGCUGGUGGUUCAAACGUGUGGCACCUUGGCAGCAGGGUCCUCUGGCUUGGAGCUCCAAGAAAGCCUUGGUGUAUAACUGUUUUAUGAGACUUCUCGUGUCCGUCGCCAUGAACUUAUCAGAAACACUGGUCUUAUCACCGUGAGAUAGUACUAUUUAUUAAGGCUUAUAGUGUAACAACUGACACUCCUCACACUGUGUAUAAACUCUCCUUCGAAGUCUAAAGAUUUAUAAAAAGAGAGUGAGGAAACACAGAUACUGGGGGGAUGGAAAGCUGUCAGCGAGAGCCCUUUGGCUGAGCCUGUCCUGUCGCCAGGAGGGUCUGUGCUCUCAGAACACAAGCACCAGAGAAGAGCAGCUCCAAAACCCAAUGGCUGCAUUGCUGCAGGCCACCGGCAUUGGUCUCUUUAAGCAAGCAGCGAGGGCAGAGGGGGUGAAAGAUGGAGCCUGCCCAUCACCUGUGCCAUGUGGCUGAGAUGGAGCCAUGGGGAACCCGAGAAGAAACAAAGGCAUGGGGAUCAUUUUAAAAGCUCCCUUUCAUGGUCUGAGAGUUCACAAGCUCAGCAAACAAUCAUUUCUCUGUGGGUUUUGCUGGAGUUAAGUGGAAGGCUGUAAGGAGUCCUGCCACCUCUCACAGAGCCACAGCUUCAGGGGCUUCUGUGCUUCAGCCCUGCAGUCUCAAGCCCGUGUUGGAACAGGACCAGAAUGAAGCCCUGACAUAUGUUGCAGCCAAAGAUUUCCCAGGGUUCCCAAGACGGUUGCGGGAAGCCAAGCGUUCUUAAAUUCUUCGGAAAAUCCCAAAUGCGCCCAUGAUGACAAAGGGCAGCUUCUGGUCUCACCCAAAUAGCAACCAGCUACAAGUCAGUCUAUUUGUCCUUCCCGUGACAUCUUAACAGCAGAGAUUAUGCAGAAGGCACUUUGCCAAUCUGUGCUGGCUCUUUCUGCAGCUGGUUGAUAGAGAAAGGAGUGGCUUCAACCAUCCGGCCCAAGGUUCUUUCAGCAUAACCUGCAUUCACUCAGCGAUUUGCUAACUGGAUAAAAAGUCUUGGUAACAUUCAAGACAGCAUGGCUUCACAGUGACAGCUAGCAGACAGCAAGGUAGUGUGGCUUUUACUGUUCCACGCAUUCUCCCUACAUGCGCUAUGAUUACUUGCAGCAUUAAAAUAGUUUUUCCUUCUGGUUCUCAUUUUGCUAUCACCAUUAUUCACAGUAUGGCUGUGCCCACAUCUGGAUGUCUGGUGGUACGUACUACUCUAUGUGGUAGUGCCCAGUGGCCAGGAACCUGCUGUGGUAGGUGCUGGGCUCUCAGGCAGAAGCAACACCUGCCCUGAAGAGUUCAUGACUGCAAUGGAAUAUUAACAUGGAAAGAAAACAUUAAAUUUGCAGCUGAAUGCAGUCUAGAUUCAAAUGAAGGAGAGGCAGUAAGAAUGACCAGAGCCAGUUCUUCACUCCCACUUGCUUCUUCAGACUUGGCUUACAGGAAGGAGUCCUAGACAGUAUUAUGCAGCUGAGACCAUUUUUUUAGCUGUUUCUGGCAAAAGGGGCGUUGAAGAACCAGUAGCUGAGGAUUUAAUGGAUUAUUUAGGACAGAUUUACAUCUCUUUGCAUGCUUUGAGUGAUACAAAGAAGGUAAGUGCCAUGAUAUCAGUGAAAUAACGUUGUUCUUGUUAGCUGCUCACAGUCUACUCCAAAACUGUAGUUAUCGCGGCCUCUUUUGCCUCAGAUUAAAGCACCACAGUCACAAAAUGCCUGAGGACCACAUGAGCUGAAAGCCUGAAGUCUCAUUCUUGCUUGUUACUGUGCAAAGUCACUGGCUCCCGGAUCAAACGCAUCAUUACUGCAGGAGACACAAAAUCAAAGCUCUACCAUCUAUGAUCAUAAUCUGUCUAGGGAUAUAUAUUUCCCAUUUCAAAGGUGUUAAUCUUAAGAUAAUGGACAACUUCUGACCCCAGUAAUGAGUUCUCUGCCUUCAGAAAUUCCUUCUAUUUCAAAAAAUACAGCAGUUGCAAUUUGAGUGAGUUUUUUCUUUGCUUUUUGUUCUAAAGUUGUGGUGUGGUUCCGCACUGUGGGGACCAGGCAGACUUGGUCAGACAAUUCUAACUAAAUUAUCUUCCCACAGAAAUGUCUUACUUUCCCUUUUUGAAGCUACUUUUUCCUGAUAAAGUAUAUGCUAUGCCAGGGAAAGUGGGGACAAGCUAGCUCUCUCUGGUCUGAAGAUCAAGGCACCCCUCUUAGAUGGAAUAGUUCCAGGUUCAGGUUCAAUACUUCAUAACCAGACAAAUAGCUGAUAUUUUCUCGUGACUGUUUAGAAAAACAGAAGCCCAGCCAGACAAAACCUAGAAAGACCUUGAUGGCAUGAAAAGCAUUUCACAUCCCUCUCAAUUGGUAGGUUGGUUUCAUAUCAGCAACAGUAACUUGCAGCUGGGGUGAACUUUCCCUUAGCAGCCCUUCCCCUUAGCAUCAGAGUCUUUUAGUUUGGAAGAGACCCUGGAAAUAUUCUCAUCCCUCCUCCCACUCUAAGCAAGUCCAAUUGAAAUCAGGUGCCUCAGGACCUUGUCCAGUUAAGGUUUGAAUACUUCAGCCAGUUCUGGAGUAUAGGACUCAGUUCUGCUGCUUAAGAGUUAAGGAGAUAUAUUACAGUGGGGCCACUAUUUCACUUUAUUUUAUGAUCCAAAAGCUCAACAAAAAUUACUUUAAUCCAUGGCAUUUAUGCUGCAUAACUCCAGAAGCACACUGCAUACGUGCACUGACAGAGGCAUUUGGGGUAAUCCAUAAACACUGCACUGCCAUCAGCUAGAACAGGAGUCAUUUCCUCUCCCUAACCCAGUACUUGCAAGGUCUCUGGAAGACUCUGUGGUUAUAUCUCAUGCUCAUCAGUCUUUCUGAAACUACACUGCCUGUGACGUGCAGAGCGCACACAGGCCUUUCUUCUUCAUUGCUGGAACAGAGGAUAAAAAGAGGAUAAAACAUACCUGGCAGGUAAAUCAAGCAAACAAUGCAGAAUUUAUGAUUCCCCUUCUUAAUAUUCACGGAGUAUACAUUGCAGAAUAAUAUAAUUCCUCACAAAAAAGCACUCAGAUCAAUAUAAACAGAAUAUAAACAUGAAUCUGGAAAAUAAAGACAGAGUCACUGACAGCUCCUGAGGUAGGGUGUUAUUAGGAAGGAGUGAGGGAACAACAGAACCAAAUUUUUAUGUUUCAAAGGAUCUAAAUUCAUUAUUCCCAAUCAGAUGGUGCUUUUCCCUACAGAAAGACACCUCUAGUUCACUUUGUUUAGACUUUCCAUUUUCUACUCAGGUGAGGUGGCUCACCCACUCUCCCAUCCCUACGGAGAGCUGGCUUUACCUUCACUUGCUUUCCAACGUACCACUCAGGAGAAUUUUUCUGCUUUCAGUAGCUGGUCUUCAAAUCACUCCAUUAUUAAAACUCCAACUUUAUUUUUGCAAUACAAACAAAAUACACGCUGAGUUUAAAGCUAGAGGUGUUGCAAGCAGAGCGUUUUAAUCAAUAUUUAAUUUAGCUGGACUCAUCACUUAAGAGCGAGUAGCCAAGUUCCACACAUUAAGAAUGGUCUUUUGCAAUGCCCAUCUUGACAAGCAAGCUUUACCAUCGCAAGCACUGCUGCUGAAUUCCAGCACAUCACUACCUGCAUCUGAAAGGACGCAGAUAAUGAGGUACAGACGUUUCUUUCGAUGCUGCAGGGAGCUUGAGGAAACCUAAAGUGAAAGAGCUUCCAGAACGCUUCACUGUAUUCAUCAGUACAGUUCAACCAAAUUAAUAACUCUACCAUCUUGGCUUGCAAAGCAGGCAAACAUUUCGUCUUAGAACUGGUUCAUUAAAAAUGUCAAACCCAGCAACCCAGACCGGGAACACUAAAGGGCUGUGUCUUCAGUACAGAUGGUGCAGUGGGGUGUCUAGGGGACACUGAUCAAAAUCUGCCUGAGCUGGUGAUUUAAUAUGCAAAGAAAUAUGUUGGUUUACAACUUGUAGCAACUCCUUAAAGAAUAUCUGGAGACAAAACAAACAAACAAAACCAAAAACACCCAGGUAAUCUUCUCUUUAGAAGAGGAACCUACACUUUUCAUAGGGUUUUAAGAAGCUUAUAGUCUGCAAGGGGCAGCAUUGAAGGUAAUAUAACUCAUUUUAUCUAUCUCUUCCCCAUUCCCAGAGUAAUGCUAUGACAAAACCUGCUGAAUAAGUAACUUGUUCUAAGUUAGCUGCCCAGCUAAAGCAUGGAAAUAUCUCUGAUGAACUGAUGAACAACUUAUAUCCAAAAGUAUUUUUAUGGACUGCAAAUUGUUGGCGAGUUGUCCAUAAUUCAAACAGAGAUGGUUUUGUUCAUUAAACAGUACUGCCAAACCCAUACCGGAUAUCUGUGUUUAGUGGGCCUCAACACAACAAGGAUGGGCAAUUCCACAGUUGAAGGCUGGAUAACGGCAUUGCUCCAGAGGAGUUACUCUGGAUUUACAGUGUGGAGUGAGGUUGGAAUCUGGACAACUAAUAAGGGAUCAGUAAAUCUUCUUUUCAGCUUUUACUUAUUUAUUUAUUUAGUCUCCUAGAAAGACAAUGAAGCUAACAAAAACGAUACUGGACCGAAAGCAAAGUGAAAUGGCUGUUGCAGACUGUUAACACAUCACACAACGCUCACAUAAAGAAGAGGGAGUUUCCACCUGGGAAAUUCCCUCAAACUCUAUGUUUAUCCUCGUGAAAGACGAGCAAGCAGCCAAGUAAGGGAAUGCAAAGCAUACAGCUGCUCUAAAAGAAGACAAACCUUUGACUGCAGAGAGAAAAAGCAUCCUAAAACCCAAAUGAUUGUAAGUUUAACAAUCAAGAAGCAACAGAUAACUUAGAUAUCAGCGUGGCCAGUUGGGGCUAGGAUAUAAACACCCAACAAGAGUUGUCCAGGUUGUUCACAUUUGACCUUUCUGCAAGCCAGUGCAACAAAAUCUGUGGUAAAGAUUUUAUUAACCACAACAUAAAAGAAAACAGGAACAACCAAGCUUUCACAGGACCUCUAAGACUGCCUGACUUACACUUCUACUAGAAUCAUAUAAUAUCAUAGAAUCAUAGAAUGGCCUG
ensembl:lncRNA